rnacentral:rRNA from 1 species
AGUGAACGCUGGCGGUAGGCCUAACACAUGCAAGUCGAACGGCAGCACAGUAAGAGCUUGCUCUUACGGGUGGCGAGUGGCGGACGGGUGAGGAAUACAUCGGAAUCUACUUUUUCGUGGGGGAUAACGUAGGGAAACUUACGCUAAUACCGCAUACGACCUACGGGUGAAAGCAGGGGAUCUUCGGACCUUGCGCGAUUGAAUGAGCCGAUGUCGGAUUAGCUAGUUGGCGGGGUAAAGGCCCACCAAGGCGACGAUCCGUAGCUGGUCUGAGAGGAUGAUCAGCCACACUGGGACUGAGACACGGUCCAGACUCCUACGGGAGGCAGCAGUGGGGAAUAUUGGACAAUGGGCGCAAGCCUGAUCCAGCCGUACCGCGUGGGUGAAGAAGGCCUUCGGGUUGUAAAGCCCUUUUGUUGGGAAAGAAAAGCAGCAGGUUAAUACCCCGCUGUUCUGACGGUACCCAAAGAAUAAGCACCGGCUAACUUCGUG